rnacentral:rRNA from 1 species
CCUACGGGAGGCAGCAGUGGGGAAUUUUGGACAAUGGGCGCAAGCCUGAUCCAGCCAUUCCGCGUGCAGGAUGAAGGCCUUCGGGUUGUAAACUGCUUUUGUACGGAACGAAACGGUUCUCUCUAAUACAAGGGGCUAAUGACGGUACCGUAAGAAUAAGCACCGGCUAACUACGUGCCAGCAGCCGCGGUAAUACGUAGGGUGCAAGCGUUAAUCGGAAUUACUGGGCGUAAAGCGUGCGCAGGCGGUUUUGUAAGACAGAGGUGAAAUCCCCGGGCUCAACCUGGGAACUGCCUUUGUGACUGCAAGGCUGGAGUACGGCAGAGGGGGAUGGAAUUCCGCGUGUAGCAGUGAAAUGCGUAGAUAUGCGGAGGAACACCGAUGGCGAAGGCAAUCCCCUGGGCCUGUACUGACGCUCAUGCACGAAAGCGUGGGGAGCAAACAGGAUUAGAUACCCUGGUAGUCCACGCCCUAAACGAUGUCAACUGGUUGUUGGGUCUUCACUGACUCAGUAACGAAGCUAACGCGUGAAGUUGACCGCCUGGGGAGUACGGCCGCAAGGUUGAAACUCAAAUGAAUUGACGGA